UUAUCUAACCAGACUCUGUUAACCUCUGUUAUUUAACCAGACUACAGAAUUUAUUUUAAACAAAUGAAACCUAAUUACCUAGCAUUCACUAUUUAAUACAGUUCUGUUGCAUAUUUAUGUUAAAUGGUGUAUUUUUAAUUUUAAUUCUAUGUAAUUAAAAUUAUAACCUUAAUUGUACGUAAGGUUUGGACAAUGUCCUCAAUAAGAUGCUGCAACUGUUGGUUAGCCCUGAAGUGGUCAGGCAGAUGGACUUCAUGACCUUUGAAGUUCUCUAUUCCUACUAUUCUAUUUCUAUCACUAAAAAUGAAGCAGAUAAAGCAAUGGUAGAAAGAUAAAUCUAUAAAUAGAUACUGGUUUCUACCUGGUUCUCUUAGAAGGCAAUAUUUUCAGCACAUGGAGGUGUGUGAUUCUGAGCUGUGAGAAUAGAUAUAUUUCUUAUAUUUCAAAUAAAUCAAUAUUAUAAACUGCUCUGCUUAAUUGCUUACAGGUGUAUCUCAAUUAAAACCCAUGAGGAUUUUACUCCAUUAUUUACACACAAGUAAUUAAGCACAUAAUCACAUUUCAAGCAGUUUAGACUCAAACUGUUCUAUAGAGCCUUAGACUCCUAAUAAAAAGAAAUACUUAUUUCAUAUCAUUUUCAGUAAGACAGUUCUAGUUAAAUCACUUCCUUCUGCUGGGGACAGACCCAGCCCAAUUGUUAGGAGCCAAAAAUUAACAGCAGUGCAUAAUUCCUGUAUCCCCUAGAACACAAGCAGCUGUUUUCAGCCUUGUUUUCAGUUGGCAUCUAGAGGCAGUGCUGCUAAUUAGCACACUUUUCUAGCAAGCUGAUCAUGCAAAAGAGGCUACAGAAACAAAACUCUCUUUCAAAAGCAAUGCCCGAGGACUGCAGAAAAGUAGCAUAGAAAUUUGUGGUCUUUAAUAACAAGGCUGGUUCUAUAUAGGACACCUGAAUUUCCAGGAAUGUCCAGUUGGCACAUUUCAUAUGUGCAAAAGUUGUAAUUUUUAAAAAACUGCAGGACUUCAUCUUUACCAAAAGGUUCAUCAGAAUGAGUACAAUCAUAAUUUGGAGUUAAACGGCAUUAUUUUUUUUUCCAAAGAAUUUUUAAACCCUUACUUGCAUUUUUGCAUUGUGUGUGCCUGGAAAGUUGCAUAAAGUGUGUUGCUUCAGGGCUGCGCCUAAUUAUAUUGGGCAUCCAGAAAUAGGUGCAUCUGACUCAGAAUUUCUGCAUGCUUUGCCAGCCAAUCAAACCAUAAGACAUGCAAGCUAUGGUUAAAUUAAGCAAUAAGACACCGCAAGCUGCAAGUUGUGACUUAUCGGCACACAACACACCGCAAGGAAGAUCACAACAGGAAACAGUUUUAAGGUAGUAGCUGUCCUCAGCCCAGCUAAGAAUAUCAUCAUUACUGUGGCUUUGUGCAUUUCGAGUCAGAGGACCUACUAUGCUAACCCUGAACAUCACAAGAGAGGACAAAACAUAAAAUUAGGUCUAGGAACAAAGUCCAGGCUGAGGACAGAGGUUACAAAGCCACAGCAGUGAGCACUCAGAGCAUCUGCUGAGCCCAGUCCUAAGGGUGCUGCAGGAGCUGAAACAUGGGGAGACUGCAAGGCGAGGCUUUAUCCUCCUGCCAGAAAACAGUAUGAACCAUAUCUGCAGUGAUUUGUUGCCGUCACCUGAACACCCUCUAGAGCUCUCCUCUGAUGUGAAGACAGAAGUUUUGUUAGUGAGCCAUCUCAACAGACCAAACGCAGCAAACACCCUGCGUGCACACAGAAUGCUGCUCUGCAGCACACACUGCGCUGGGAAGGACGCCGGUUCUCUGCUGGAUGCUAAAUGAAAACAUGCAUGUUUAUGCCUGAAGAUCUUCUUGGAUGAAGGCCAAGGAGAGAAAUUCAGGUAUGUGUAGCUGAGGACUGUGCCCUCCUCUGAAUCACCAGGCCCAACCAAACAUACUAACAAGUACUCCCGUGUUCUUUCAAGUAGAAUGCAUUGCCUAAGACUACACACUUCAGUGCCCAAAGUGAUGAAUGUUUUGCUGAGCUUCCUGUAACGCAAUUACACUGCAACUCAGACAGCUAACAAAAGAUAAAUCUGCUGUUACACGGAAAAUUGAACACACUUCUUGAUCAAGUACAGAUGACCUGUAAGACAGCCUUUGAACUUUUAAUUGAUAUAUAAAAGGAAUUCUACUUUGACAUAAGCAUAGCAACUGCUUAAUAAUACUUUGCAAUUGAUAAAACCACACAGUUGAUGAAUUUUCUGCCUUAACUGAGCUGCAGUGGCAAUCCCUUGGGCAAUCAGUCUGCUCUCUUACAGGAAACCUGCAAAUCAAACUCUCAGUAUAUCUCUCUCAGAAAACAGAAAGGGAAGGUAAUACACAAGUUCUCCCCAGUUCAAUGUAGUCUACAUAAUACAUAUACAAAAGCAAAUCUCAGUACAUCAGCACUAAAAAUAAGAAUGCAUGCUCUGUUGUGUGAAUGGUUUGCAAAGGGAAAGAACAAGACUUACUGUAAAAAAAAAAAAAACCACAGAAAAACAUCUGCCUCAUUAGGAAGAAUGCAGCAAAUAACAGCAAUUCUGCUUAUAUGUUACAGAUUUUUCAUUACAUAGUACAUUUUUUGUGUCCUACUCCUUCUUAUUUUAUCUGCAUGAAGGAGACUCCAUUUUCCUUCAACUGAAAUCUGUGGCAAAUAUCAUUAAUUUUCAUCAGACUUAAAAUUUAGAGUAAUAGAAAUACGACCACAUGAAACAGGUGGACAUUAAGUUUUGUCUGUGAGCUAUCAAGAAACAACAAGCCCUGACUUUUCAGUGUUAGAAGUUUACAUUAUCUAGGAAUAAUUACUUUUCUUUUCUCUGCGUAACUCUCUUUUUCCCCUUAAACAUUAAUAAAAUUACAGAAUGUGCUUUUCCAUUCUACUAGAGCUAUCAAAAAAGUUUCCCUUCAUUUUCAUGAGUACUGUAAAUAUAUUAAUGAUGAUUAUUCUAAUGAAUAGUGAAUGAAUUAUUAAAGAUGGAAUGACCUUUGGUAUUCCAUUUGGUUGAUGCUAGAAGUUAAUUACAAUUAUAGAAUAUAUUUUUUUUUAAACUCAGUUCUACUUUUAUCUGAUUCAGGAAACUUAAUUCAUCACAAACAACAGUAUAAUAGGGUGAAUAGCUAUUAAAAAUACAGUCAAAUUUGGAGGAUUGGAAGCUCAUCACAACUGCCCAACUAAAGUGAAAUUAAAUGUCAUGAUAAGUCAAAUACUGCAGAAACUUGAAAACUAUUAAAGAGAAAGGGUCCCUAGCUCAUUAAGCCACCACCUAGAACUGUCACACAGUGUCUCACAGGCAAUUAAAAUCUUCCUAAAAUCUUCCAGGCAGUCUCUAAAGCAGCUACUCCUUUUAGACAGCAUAUACUUAAUGCCACAUAGCGUAUUCGUAGAUUAUCCUAUCUCUGGCCAAAGCCUAUAAAUCCAAGCAAUAUUUCUCAUCAUGUGAGGCCACAGAAAGUUCACCAACAGUCUUCACCUCAUGCAAGACACUCAAUAAACAAGACAAGGAAAACCACUUCCAAGACUGACACAGAAAGAAAAACAUAUAAAAGGUAGGACUGUUACCCCCCAACACAAUACUAAAUGUAAGGUUAUAAAAUGAGGGGGAAAAUUAUAACCAUAAAGAAAUGUCUAACUUGCAUCAAGAGUACAGUAGGAGAAGAGAUGGAGAAGACUCCACUCAGGCUGUACAUUUAUUUAAAGCCACUGAAGGCAAGUACUAAUGUACACAUGAUCCAUCUCAUUAACUACAUACCCUACUCAAUCUCAUUUGAGAAAUAAAUAUUAGGACAGAAGAAAGCCCAUGUACAUAAGCUUUCACCAGUCCCAGCCCUGGUGAUUUACCCAAAGCAAAUCUUUUGUUCUCUCAUUUCAAGAGAGUUGAGGAACAGUUCUGAUUUUUAUGGCAAAGCAGUAUUUCUCCUGGACAACUGCUGCUAAGUCAGAAAAGAAGGCCAGUACAAAUGAGGGAACUCUUCAAGCCUGAAGAGUAAAAUGUCAAACAAUAUUUUGCUAAGGUAAGUGAAAACCACUUCUUACGCACAUCACAUGAUAGAUAUUGCCAAUCCUGAAGAUUCUCACAUGGGUAACAGUUCUCUCACAAAGACUGAACGAAUAGAGAAGUUAUGUAUUAUGCAGUGCCCACGAGUUCCAAGAGAGGACUGCGCGUGUGAACAGUGGUAGGGAACCACAGGAAUGAAGCCUUGUUGACCAUUUUCUCUUCUCUGAUGAUCACAGAGAAAGCACAAAGACCUUUGAGACUGAUGUAUAUGUGUGGUUAGAGUACGAGUGAGAUGCACUGCAAAAGAGCAUACAGGAAGUGAACAUAAAAACCUAGGAAGUCCAAUUAAGAGAAGAGUAGAGCUCUGCAUCUGGUGCAGUCAAAGAAAAAAAAAGAAACACCAACAAACAACAACAUGCAUCCAUAUGGGCACCCAGGAGCAUCAGUGAAAAGGGCCUUUAUUCUGUGUGGCUUCACACUGGGACACCCAUUUGUCCCCCCUCAAGCGAAGCAACAAGGGAUGGGCAGAAACUGGGAGAAACCCAGGAGAGCAACCAAGAAGGUCUGGGGCUAUAGUAUGUGCCUCAAAUAGAGGUUAGGGAGCUGAGCUCAUUCAGUCUGGCAAGGGAGUGAUCUACCAGUCGACUGGCAGCUCACAGCAAGCCAAGCAACCUGUAACUCCUGGAAGAGAAACUGCAAGGAUAAAGAAGUCAAAUCCUUCUUAACAGUGUCAGACGGUACAAAAAGGAGCACGUGAGAGGUUCAGAUUUACUCUCCCCUCACCUCAAAUCCUCUAUGUUUCAACAAAAGGGUCAAUGCAGGCCCCCAAAUGGUUCCCCAGCAGGGCUGUGGCAUCUCCACCCAACAUUCAAGACCUGUCCAGACAAAGAUUGGUUGACAUGAACGGGAAGAGAAUGUCUUCCAGUUGGACCUCUCCAAAGAAUGCUUCAAGGAGAAAUGUGCACACAUACAGAAUCACAGACUGCCUCAGAUGGAACAAACUCCUGGGGAUUUAUACUGAAGUGCAUCUAAGUGUACACAAUCAUGCACUCCCUGAAAGAAAAUAGUUAUUAAACUUUAGGAAGCAGCUACAGAGCUUUAAAUUUUUACGUCCUCAGUACCUAAUAAGACUAAUGUGGCUUUGCCAUACCAUUUAUGUUGUCAACUCUGCUAGCACUUGCUAUUUGUUAAUAUCAUACUGUUAUUUGUUUAAUAAAUAAAUAAAUAAAAAUACACUGUUAUUCUAACAAUAGCAGGCCCUGGCUCUGAAAUGGUACUUGAAAAGAUAAAAGCCACAGUACUACCUACAGAACACCUGGAAUGAAUUCAUUAAAUGCCUGCAGAUAGAUAAAGUGACAGAAUCAUCUUUCCUGCUUUCUAGUAGGCAAGUAUUUAGGGUGUUGCACAUUACUGUGUUUCUAACCAUAGUGUGGAACCUCCCUAAUUAUACUCAUAGCACAGUAGAUAAUGCAGCACUGUUAGCUCACAUGCAAAGAUACUGCUGUUCAACAGCCAUCUGAUCACUAGUGAAAGAUGUUCAGAAAGCAGAUAUGGAAAGCUAAAAUAGCUAGUUAAAUUUUUAUCGUAUUGCUAGAUUUUUUUCAGAAAUCACUUUCCAGUCUUUUUCCAUUCAGAAUGUGAAAGGAUGAGAAGAAGAUCAGACAGGGUCACACAUUCAUCUAGCCCUGUAUCUUAUCUCCUCCAUCAAUGACCAGUGGAGAAGGCCCAUGGAAACAUCAAUACAGGUCAUGCAAAGUGAUACCCACCCGGCCCUGCAAUUUGUGAUUCAGAAGCUUCCAGAGCAAAAGGUGAUGGCUUUGUAACGAUAAGGACAUUGCCGCAACAAAUGUCAAAGACUUUUGCACAUAAUUUAUUAAAAAGAAGUCAGUAAGAAACAGAAACUUCAUUAUUCCUGAAAUAAAUCCAACGUGUUAAAAUCAGGAAACUUAUGCAACUAAUUUUAACAAUAAAAACAGUAUCAAGGAGUAGUGUUUCUUCUGAACUUCUCAUGCCACUUCUUUUUCAGAAUGUUAAUUAAGAAUAAAAACAAUACAAAAUCCUUAUGACGGCUGAAGAUGAAACCAGAGUAAAAACUGCAACAGAUCUGGAAUUCCUCUUUGAUCAUUCCAAUGCAAUGUCUACACUUUCUCAUCAAACCAAACCACCAAAAAUAAUCUAAAUAAACAGCACUAACAACAGAAAGAAAUCCUCGUACAUCCCAAGACAACGCUUCUAAGGAGUCAGAAUAUUAGAGCAUUCUAACACACCUCCACAUGCAUUAAAUAUGUACAUA